CCUACGGGUGGCAGCAGUGGGGGAUAUUGCACAAUGGGGGGAACCCUGAUGCAGCGACGCAGCGUGGGUGAAGGAGCGUUUCGGCGCGUAAAGCCCUAUCUGCAGGGAAGAAAGAGGACGGUACCUGACUAAGAAGCCCCGGCUAAAUAAGUGCCAGCAGCCGAGGUAAUACGUAGGGGGCAAGCGUUUUCCGGGUUUACUGGGUGUAAAGGGGGCGCAGACGGCAGCGCGAGGCAGGAGUGAAAGCGCGCGGCCCAACCCUGGGACUGCUGUUGGAACUGGGCGUCUUGAGUGCAGGAGGGGUAGGCGGAAUUCGUGGUGUAGCGGUGAAAUGCGUAGAUAUCAGGAGGAACACCGGUGGCGAAGGCGGCCUGCUGGACUGCGACUGACGUUGAGGCCCGAAAGUGUGGGGAGCAAACAGGAUUAGAUACCCCUGUAGUC
rnacentral:rRNA from 1 species